AGAGACUCUAGGACCUGGUCUGGGAUGCAAGACAGUCUGAGACUGUGAUUCUGGGCUGUAGCGGCUUGAGGUUUUAGUUCUUACAGGUGUGGAUGACAAAGCAGAUGGUGAAGUUUGGAAUGUAGAAGUAGAAGGCUGCGAGGGAACUUGAUUUCUAGCAAAAUCUUGUGUGAUAAUUUGCUGUAAAUGAGAAGCGGAGGAAGUCAUAAAGCUGUUAAAUACCCGCCAAGAGAGCUCCCUGUGAACUCAGCUUCUUGUUCUGCAUUCUCUGUGUGUUUCAUUCUGAGUACAAAACAGCCUUAGACUCAGCAGUAGUCCUGCCUCAAAGUCCCGACUGAUGGGAUAUGUGCCCCCAUGCCAGCUUAACCUAAAUAUCUUUGCUAGGAUUUUCUUGUGUUUUUAAAAACAAACAAAAAAAAAAAAACCAAAAAAAAAAAAACCAAAAAACUGCUUUCUGCAUAAUAAUAAUAAUAGCAACAACAACAGAAGUAGAGAAGACUUACACAGAUGUGGUCAGCAAGUGUGAUCAGUCGAUGGGUCCUGGGCACCUGUCCCAUUCCCUCUGACUGGGAAGAUGGGGGCAGUGGUGGCUGUUGCUGUGGAGAUGGUGAUUCCUGCUGGGACCGAUAAUGAUGCAGUGGACCUUCAUACUGUCGAGUGGACUCAUCUAAUAGACGGUAGGUAGAUACAUUAUCCUAAGGAUGCUACUGGCCCACACUCAGUAUAACUCAGAAAAACGUAAGAUAUGCACCAAUACACAUAAUUUAUGUAUUUAUAUCUAGAAACAAAAAAAACCCACUGAUUUAUUCUACUAGUUUUCAUGCUUCUGAGUGUAGAAGUGAGCAGAAUUUUCAGCCAUUUUCCUACAUGUGUAUAUGCACACAUGUUUGUUAGAGUGAGUGUGCACAUGCAGGCAAAGGCUGCUUGCUGUCAGUCUCUUUCCUCUAUUGCUGUCUGCCUUUCUAUUUUUGAGACAAGGUCUCUUGGUGAACCUGAAGCUCAUGGAUUGGCUAGCUAGUGAGUGGAAGGGAUCUACCAUUCACACUCCCUGCACCUCUUGCUCCAGUGCUGGGGCUACAGGGCUGGAUUCUUGGUAUCCAAAUUCAGGUCCUCAUGCUUGUGUACCAGUUACUUUAGAUCUAUUUUCAAUAAACUAUGCACAAAAGAGUAACAAUAGUUUAAUAGUGUAUUUUGUUAGUACAGCUUUAAGUGUUUCUAGAGUAGAUUACUCUGCAACAAGUUAAUCUUACCAUGGCCUAGACAGGAAACUAGAAGCAAAUGUUAAUGCAAAUAAGAAACACAGAAGUGGCAAAACAGACAUACUUUCUGCUUGAUUUGCCUUAACCAUGUCUGGCUGAUAGGCCUGUGGCUUUUCCUGGGGUGGUGCAGGUGAGCUGGCGGGACUUAUCACCUCAAUGGCAUCACUAGCCGUUUCAUACCUGUGAGAAGACACUUUAAGAAAAGAACCUCAUUUUAAAAUAAAUCCAUGGAAAGUUUCAAAGUCCAAGUUAUUCAAAGCUAUUUGCAUAUUUUAGGGUUUUUUGAUUCUGCUAAAGAGAAGUCCAGUAGCAUUCCAUACUAGCAAUAAAAUCAAACUCAAUCCGACUCAAUAGACUGUUAAAGCUGCCCUUGUGCAAAGCUUGCAGGGUUUUACAGCAUGAGAUGAAACAGAAUUAAAAACAUAUUUGUAAUAAGCCCAUGGGAGCCCGAAAUAAACCCUGGGCUAACAUCAUCAGAGGAGAUUAGUAAGUAAGUAAGGGGUAGAUCUCAACAGUUGAUUCCAAUAUUCCCAUUUCUGUGGAACAAUCUGAUCUUAGCAAAACAGACCACAGAGCUGGUUCACUGCCAAGACUGUUACUGCUUAUAAAGCACUAGAGUGAGAGAGCGCCCUGUCCGUCUUCGAGCCAUCACAGUUGUGGUGUUGACCAGCUAGGAGCCAAUUCAAAACGGGAUGUUGAGAAAGACAAGAUUUUUGUUCAGAUGUGUGCCCAGUGCCACACUGUGGGAAGGGCAGCAAGCAUAAUACUAGAUUGAAUCUCUAUGGUGUAUUUGGGCAGAAGAUAGGUCAAGCUGCAAGACUGACUUACAAAGAUGCCAACAAGAAGAAAGGCAUCACCUGGAGAGAGGACACCCUGACGGAGUGUUUGGAGAACCCUAAAAAGGGACACCCCUGGAACAAACAUUAUCUUCGCUGAAGUUAAGAGGGUGGUAGAGGGCAGACCUAAGAGCUAAUCCUUCAAAAGUUAUCAGUCACUAAUUCUGCCACCUUAUUACAAAACAAAUGUUUCAUGGCUUUCAAUGUGUGUCAUAAUUUAAUUUGUAAAAACCGAAAUUAACAUCAUGUGUGGCUAACAAUGUUUUUGUUGGACAGUCCUGAUUUUAGUAAAACUGAUGUGUGGCAAAAAAAUAAAAAUAAUGAUUUUUCUC
rnacentral:lncRNA from 1 species